rnacentral:rRNA from 1 species
CAGCAGCCGCGGUAAUACGGAGGGUGCAAGCGUUAUUCGGAAUUAUUGGGCGUAAAGGGCGCGUAGGCGGCCGAACAGGUCAGGUGUGAAAGCCCGGGGCUUAACCCCGGAAGUGCAUUUGAAACCUUUUGGCUUGAGUAUGGGAGAGGAGAGCGGAAUUCCUGGUGUAGAGGUGAAAUUCGUAGAUAUCAGGAGGAACACCGGUGGCGAAGGCGGCUCUCUGGACCAAUACUGACGCUGAGGCGCGAAGGCGUGGGUAGCAAACAGGAUUAGAUACCCUGGUAGUCCACGCAGUAAACGUUGUUCACUAGGUGUAGUGGGUAUUGACCCCUACUGUGCCGCAGCUAACGCAUUAAGUGAACCGCCUGGGAAGUACGGUCGCAAGAUUAAAACUCAAAGGAAUUGACGG